rnacentral:rRNA from 1 species
AGAGUUUGAUCAUGGCUCAGAUUGAACGCUGGCGGCAGGCCUAACACAUGCAAGUCGAGCGGAUGAGAAGAGCUUGCUCUUCGAUUCAGCGGCGGACGGGUGAGUAAUGCCUAGGAAUCUGCCUGGUAGUGGGGGACAACGUCUCGAAAGGGACGCUAAUACCGCAUACGCCCUACGGGAGAAAGCAGGGGACCUUCGGGCCUUGCGCUAUCAGAUGAGCCUAGGUCGGAUUAGCUAGUUGGCGGGGUAACGGCCCACCAAGGCGACGAUGACUAGGGGAUCUGAGAGGAUGACCCCCCCACACUGGUACUGAGACACGGACCAGACUCCUACGGGAGGCAGCAGUAAGGAAUAUUGGUCAAUGGAGGGAACUCUGAACCAGCCAUGCCGCGUGCAGGAAGACAGCCCUCUGGGUCGUAAACUGCUUUUAUUCGGGAAUAAACCUUUCUACGUGUAGGAAGCUGAAUGUACCGAAGGAAUAAGGAUCGGCUAACUCCGUGCCAGCAGCCGCGGUAAUACGGAGGAUCCAAGCGUUAUCCGGAUUUAUUGGGUUUAAAGGGUGCGUAGGCGGCUUAUUAAGUCAGGGGUGAAAGACGGUGGCUCAACCAUCGCAGUGCCCUUGAUACUGAUGAGCUUGAAUACACUAGAGGUAGGCGGAACGUGACAAGUAGCGGUGAAAUGCAUAGAUAUGUCACAGAACACCGAUUGCGAAGGCAGCUUACUAUGGUGUUAUUGACGCUGAGGCACGAAAGCGUGGGGAUCAAACAGGAUUAGAUACCCNUGGUAGUCCACGCCCUAAACGAUGAAUACUCGCUGUUAGCGAUAUACAGUUAGCGGCUAAGCGAAAGCGUUAAGUAUUCCACCUGGGGAGUACGCCCGCAAGGGUGAAACUCAAAGGAAUUGACGGGGGCCCGCACAAGCGGAGGAGCAUGUGGUUUAAUUCGAUGAUACGCGAGGAACCUUACCCGGGCUUGAAAGUUAGUGAAUGAUCUAGAGAUAGAUCAGUGAGCAAUCACACGAAACUAGGUGCUGCAUGGCUGUCGUCAGCUCGUGCCGUGAGGUGUUGGGUUAAGUCCCGCAACGAGCGCAACCCCUAUGUUUAGUUGCCAGCACGUUAAGGUGGGGACUCUAAACAGACUGCCUGUGCAAACAGAGAGGAAGGAGGGGACGACGUCAAGUCAUCAUGGCCCUUACGUCCGGGGCUACACACGUGCUACAAUGGAUGGUACAGAGGGCAGCAAGCUGGCAACAGCAAGCGAAUCUCAAAAAGCCAUUCACAGUUCGGAUAGAGGUCUGCAACUCGACCUCUUGAAGUUGGAUUCGCUAGUAAUCGCGUAUCAGCAAUGACGCGGUGAAUACGUUCCCGGGCCUUGUACACACCGCCCGUCAAGCCAUGGAAGUUGGGGGUACCUAAAGUAUGUAACCGUAAGGAGCGUCCUAGGGUAAAACCGGUAACUGGGGCUAAGUCGUAACAAGGUAGCCGU